ACUUAGUACGGCGAGUGAGCGGUAAAAGCUCAAAUUUGAAAUCUGGUACUUUCAGUGCCCGAGUUGUAAUUUGUAGAAUUUGUCUUUGAUUAGGUCCUUGUCUAUGUUCCUUGGAACAGGACGUCAUAGAGGGUGAGAAUCCCGUUUGGCGAGGAUACCUUUUCUCUGUAAGACUUUUUCGAAGAGUCGAGUUGUUUGGGAAUGCAGCUCAAAGUGGGUGGUAAAUUCCAUCUAAAGCUAAAUAUUGGCGAGAGACCGAUAGCGAACAAGUACAGUGAUGGAAAGAUGAAAAGAACUUUGAAAAGAGAGUGAAAAAGUACGUGAAAUUGUUGAAAGGGAAGGGCAUUUGAUCAGACAUGGUGUUUUUUGCAUGCACUCGCCUCUCGUGGGCUUGGGCCUCUCAAAAAUUUCACUGGGCCAACAUCAAUUCUGGCAGCAGGAUAAAUCAUUAAGAAUGUAGCUACUUCGGUAGUGUUAUAGCUUUUUGGAAUACUGUUAGCCGGGAUUGAGGACUGCGCUUCGGCAAGGAUGUUGGCAUAAUGGUUAAAUGCCGCCCGUCUUGAA
rnacentral:rRNA from 1 species